CCCGUCAUUUUUCUAUCAACCUGGCUCGCAACUUUCCCCAAACUGCAAUCCCUCAUUCCCUCUCGCAUAGCUCGAUCGACCCCGAUCCAGAAGCACCGGCAAUGGAGCUCGCCGUUGGUGGCAAGAAGCUGCGUAGCAGCCCACAUCGCGCGCAGUAGGGCACACCCCACCCUCACCCUUAUCUUCGUGUGAGUUGAGCUCCUCGACUUUGCAUCUGCGUGUGCCACCAGAUCUGGCCAUCGAGUGAGUCCAUGCGAUCCUCGAUUUGGCGCUGAUUGACUCUUCGCCUCGCUAGGGCUAAGCUGUCGGGCUAUGGAUUGUUUGGUGGGGACUAGAGAGGUUAGACGAUAAGAGCCACUUCAGCGGCGAGGGUGCUCGAGAUGAUGGCACAGGACCUGACAUCAACCUUGAUUCAGGGGUUGGCACGGUAUGUGUGUCGUGUGAGGCAGCGCACAACUGAAGAUGCGUCCAGCCGGGGCUGGCCGACUGGCCAUGAGAUGUUGUUUGGUGGGGUUUGAUCCAUCUCUCUGGUCGGCAAGGGACGAUAUGCAAGUCUCCGUUUAUCUCAAGAUGUAACAGUAAAGGAUGGACUUGGUAGAGUAGUACUGCUUUUGCUUUUGGAUUGGUGAGUUCAUCGCAGACUCUUGAGCAUGCCCUCAAAAUUUAGCGCAAUAGAUGUGAUGCGCAUCAAGGCUGCCUAAGGUGCUGCUUGUAUCAAUAUGCUCUCAGCCAUCGCUACCUGCUCGCCUAAUGGUUUAACUAGGUUUUUGGAGCUAAAGCUGCUUUCAUCUCAUGCCCAAAACACAAUCGCUGGCGGAUAUAUCAAAGAAGUUCAUUUUUUGUAGACAAUGGCAAUGUGUAGUUUAUUGAGGCAUUGGGAUGGGGCGGCUUGUGAGUUGAUGUUACAUCAAAGCUGGCAAUGUGUAACCCCAACUUACAAUUAUGCAUGCAGAAUCGGCUAUAAGGAGAUCAUACAUCAAUGGGUGAGCAGACAGAUGUGCAUGCAGUGGAGGAAGUAGAGAUUAAUAAUGGGGUGACAAAUCACACAAAAUAGAACUACAAUUUGAUCAAAAGUAGAGAUCAGAUGUGAUCUUUUUUGAGAUGCAGGCAAGUUAUGCUACAAUUUGAUCAUACAAGCUAAAUCUUCUUAGGAAACAAACGUGUAGAAACUAAUGUAAUUUUCUAGGCAAAUUCAUGCAAAUUUGGUGUCAUAUUCCUGUAAAGCUGUAAACGUGUAGAAUACAAUUUUGAUCUUUUUUCUCCUAGGCAAACUCCUGUAAAGCUGAUCAUAGAAUCUGGAAAGGACAGCUAUAAAACCA